UAAGUCAGAACCGUGCUAGAAACGAUGAUGUUGGUCCCGCACAUAUUAGCUGUGUUAAAAUAGAGCUUUGCUCGUGAACCAAAUCAGACAGACGUGGGUAUUGCAGUGGAAAUCUGUGGUAUCUAGUUUGUGAAUUGUAAUUACCAUAUGGGCGGGGGUGAAUCCUUUGCAGACGACUUGAAUGGGAACGGGGUACUGUAAGCAGUAGAGUAGCCUUGUUGCUACGAUCUGCUGAGGUUAAGCCCUUGUUCUAAAGAUUUGU
rnacentral:rRNA from 1 species